rnacentral:lncRNA from 1 species
AUGCUUGAAGUCCUGAAGAGAAGCACUUGCAAGCCCCUGGUUUCUGACUCCUGGCUGCCUGUCCUGAGAAGACACACCAGAACCAGCAGGGGGAUGUUAGCCACUCUCUUCAAUGUGCAAGUUCACUUUCUUGGGUCUUCAUUCUCGGCACCUAGAAGAGAGCUUGAUCUGGACCUCCGUAGACAUCCCCAACCUUCUGUGGCUCCUGGGUGGCCAACGGUUUGA